rnacentral:rRNA from 1 species
AGCCUCGAACCAGCCAAGUCGCGUGCAGGAAGUAAUGUUCUUACGGCAUUGUAAACUUGCUUUUGUAGAGGAGUAAUGUCAGCUACGCGUAGCUGAGGUGCAAGUACUCUACGAAUAAGUAUCGGCUAACUCCGUGCCAGCAGCCGCGGUAAUACGGAGGAUACGAGCGUUAUCCGGAUUUAUUGGGUUUAAAGGGUGCCGUAGGUUGCUGAUUAAGUCAGUGGUUGAAAAGCUGCAGCUCAACCUGUAGUCCUGCCGUUUGAAACUGAUUGGCUAGAGGAGGAAGACCAAGGGUAUGUUGGGAAUGGUGUGGGUGUAAGCGGUGAAAAAUGCCC